rnacentral:rRNA from 1 species
CUCUGGUAUUGAUUGGUGCUUGCAUCAUGAUUUACAUUUGAGUGAGUGGCGAACUGGUGAGUAACACGUGGGAAACCUGCCCAGAAGCGGGGGAUAACACCUGGAAACAGAUGCUAAUACCGCAUAACAACUUGGACCGCAUGGUCCGAGCUUGAAAGAUGGCUUCGGCUAUCACUUUUGGAUGGUCCCGCGGCGUAUUAGCUAGAUGGUGGGGUAACGGCUCACCAUGGCAAUGAUACGUAGCCGACCUGAGAGGGUAAUCGGCCACAUUGGGACUGAGACACGGCCCAAACUCCUACGGGAGGCAGCAGUAGGGAAUCUUCCACAAUGGACGAAAGUCUGAUGGAGCAACGCCGCGUGAGUGAAGAAGGGUUUCGGCUCGUAAAACUCUGUUGUUAAAGAAGAACAUAUCUGAGAGUAACUGUUCAGGUAUUGACGGUAUUUAACCAGAAAGCCACGGCUAACUACGUGCCAGCAGCCGCGGUAAUACGUAGGUGGCAAGCGUUGUCCGGAUUUAUUGGGCGUAAAGCGAGCGCAGGCGGUUUUUUAAGUCUGAUGUGAAAGCCUUCGGCUCAACCGAAGAAGUGCAUCGGAAACUGGGAAACUUGAGUGCAGAAGAGGACAGUGGAACUCCAUGUGUAGCGGUGAAAUGCGUAGAUAUAUGGAAGAACACCAGUGGCGAAGGCGGCUGUCUGGUCUGUAACUGACGCUGAGGCUCGAAAGUAUGGGUAGCAAACAGGAUUAGAUACCCUGGUAGUCCAUACCGUAAACGAUGAAUGCUAAGUGUUGGAGGGUUUCCGCCCUUCAGUGCUGCAGCUAACGCAUUAAGCAUUCCGCCUGGGGAGUACGGCCGCAAGGCUGAAACUCAAAGGAAUUGACGGGGGCCCGCACAAGCGGUGGAGCAUGUGGUUUAAUUCGAAGCUACGCGAAGAACCUUACCAGGUCUUGACAUACUAUGCAAAUCUAAGAGAUUAGACGUUCCCUUCGGGGACAUGGAUACAGGUGGUGCAUGGUUGUCGUCAGCUCGUGUCGUGAGAUGUUGGGUUAAGUCCCGCAACGAGCGCAACCCUUAUUAUCAGUUGCCAGCAUUAAGUUGGGCACUCUGGUGAGACUGCCGGUGACAAACCGGAGGAAGGUGGGGAUGACGUCAAAUCAUCAUGCCCCUUAUGACCUGGGCUACACACGUGCUACAAUGGAUGGUACAACGAGUUGCGAACUCGCGAGAGUAAGCUAAUCUCUUAAAGCCAUUCUCAGUUCGGAUUGUAGGCUGCAACUCGCCUACAUGAAGUCGGAAUCGCUAGUAAUCGCGGAUCAGCAUGCCGCGGUGAAUACGUUCCCGGGCCUUGUACACACCGCCCGUCACACCAUGAGAGUUUGUAACACCCAAAGUCGGUGGGGUAACCUUUUAGGAACCA